UGCAACCUCCGCUUCCCAGGUUCAAACGAUUCUCCUGCCUCAGCCUCCUGAGUAGCUGGGACUACAGGCAUGCCAGGCUAAUUUUUGUAUUUUUUGUAGAGACAGGGUUCCGCCAUAUUGCCCAGGCUGGUCUCAAAUUCGUGGGCUCAAGUGAUCCUCCUGCCUCAGCCUCUCAAAGUGGUGGGAUAACAAAAGUUUUUUUUUUGCUUUUUAAAAAAUUCAAUGUUAGCAAGAGAAUGAUAAGUUUGGGAGCUUCAUAUGAUGCUUUAGAAGUGUAAAUUUCCUUUCUGAUAAGCAGCUAAGCAAGCUAUAUCAGGAAUGUAGCUUUUUGGUUGUUUUUUGAGAUGGUCUUGCGUUGUUGCCCAGGCUUUGAGUGCAGUGGCAUGAUCAUGGCUCACUGCAGCCUCAACCUCCCUGACUCAAGCGAUCCUCCCACCUCAGCCUCCCAGGUAGCUGCGACUACAGGCACGCACCACUCCACUCGGCUAAUUUUUUAUUUUUUAUUUUUGUAGAGACAGGGUCUUCCUAUGUUGCCCAGGCCAGUCUCUGAACUCCUGGGCUCAAGUGAUCCUUCUGCCUUGGCCACCCAAAGUGCUGGGAUUAUGGGCGUGAGCCACCAUGCCAGGCUUGUAGCUUUAUAUCUUUAGCCCUUUCUCCUCUUGGGAUCUACCAUUAAGGAACAAGGCCUGUUUACCGCCAUACCACCCUGAAUGCGUCCAAUCUCAUGUGAUCUUGAAAGAAAGAAGGCCAGACAUGGUGGCUCACACCUAUAAUCCCAGCCUCCCAAGUAGCUGGGACUACAAGGCACCUACUGCUGCACUUAGCUUUAUCUUUUAACUCAUAUUUUAAAUGUCUUCUACAAGGCACAGAAAAAUAAGUAGUUGUGUUCAUUUUUAAGUAAAUAGUAGUAAACAGUUUCAAAUGCUGUUUGAGAUGUUAAUUAAGGCACACACUUAGACUAGUCCAUUUGAUUUGAAAAUUAGGAUUUUAUUUGUGCUUUUUGUUAAUUACUGGCUUUUAAAAGAUCAGUAGUGGGGCAGAAACUAGACUAGUGGGUUGAAGGGUGAAUAGGAAAUAAGUAAUACUUAUUCUUUCAAGGAGCUUGACUGAAAAGGAGACAGUGGUAGUUUGAAGAUAUUGCUGUUUUUAAGAUAAAAAUGAUUUCAGCACUUUAAAAAUAAAAAGUUGGAAAUGAUCAAUGAAUCAAGGAUCAUCAAGAAAGAGGCAAGAGGAAGUAAGAUUAAGCACAAAGAGUAUCAACUGAUAGGUGGCAUUUCAAGGAACUUCAGGUGUUGAAUAUCUAAAGCACCAAAUGCGUGUGGACAGCAGUGAAGAUAAAGCUGGAAAUGCGCCGGCAGACCAACACAUGAUGAGCCCUGUAGGUGGUGGACAAAGACUAUGAGCAAGCCAUUUAGGCAAACAUCUGAAGAAUUUAAAAAUCAAAGGCAAACAAAUAGGACUGUUUCAUUAAGAUCACUUGCAUUCUAACAGGUUAUGAUGAAUGGAAAGCUGAUGGUUCCUGGUUGGAAAAAAGAUAAUUUUCAAUUUGGACAUGUCACAUUUGAGAUGCAGUUGACACACCCAAGAUACAUAAUAUAUUGUCUUUCAAAAUUCAGAAACCUAAUAAACCAUGAUCUUAAUAACCGCCACUCCA
rnacentral:lncRNA from 1 species